GCUAAUCACAUUUCCCAGUCUUGUGGACUAGUGCACCACCAGAAAAAGGGCAUCUCUUGGCCUUGGACAUGGUUAACAGAACUUCUAUAAGGCUGUCAGCAAGAAUGGAAACCACAAACGGCAAUCUGUAUCAUUCACGGUGACACUAAGAGUUCUCUUCUAGAUACUACUCUGUAAUUUUUGGUCUUUUGGCCAGAGGAG